rnacentral:rRNA from 1 species
CUGUCUCUUAAGGCCAGCCAACGAAAUUGAAUAGCCAGUACAAAAGCUGGUAUUUUUAAGCAAGACAAAAAGACCCCGUGGAACUUUAACAAAUUAUUAACAACACUUAAUAAAAGUUUCGGUUGGGACAACCAUAGAAAAACUAAACUUCUAAAUUAAACAAGACCAACAAGUCUAAUAUGAUGACCCAGUUAGACUGAUCAAUGAAACAAGCUACCCCGGGGAUAACAGCGCCACCUUCUAGAAGAGUCCAUAUCAACAAGAAGACCUACGACCUCGAUGUUGGAUCAGGAUAUCCUGGCGGUGUAACAGCUGUCAAAGGUUCGUUUGUUCAACGAUCAAAAUCCUACGUGAUCU